rnacentral:lncRNA from 1 species
ACCGAGCCCCGGGGGGCGCUGCGAGCGCAGGCACCGGGCAAGGGGAGCGCGGGGCAGCGCGGCCUGGCGGCGGCUGCUGCUGGUGCUCCUCCUGCAGCUGGUGCUGCUCCUCCUUCUCCUCCUCCUCCUCUUCCUCCUCCUGCUCCCCACCGCCCUCUCGCGGCCCCCCGAGAGGUUCCCGCAGCCCUGCAGUCGCUCCCUGCCUGAACCAGGCAAAUAAAUAGCAGCUGGCGCAGGGUUCGUGUUUUGCGGGGUGAGAUGGGACCUCUGCUUCUAAAGCACGUUGCUGCAGGGUGUUUGCUGUUGUCCAGCUCUGCUUCUCCCCGGUUUGUGCCUGCCUUGGCCGUGUGUCUGCCUCCCCUGCCUGCAGACAAUGAAACACAAUCCUUGCGCAGCCCCUUCUGUGCGGAGUCACGGAGAUGAAGGGGGCUGUGCUCACUCCUGUGACCCGAGAUGCUGUCUUUGCAAGAUGCUUGGGGUCUGCACACCAGGGCAAACAGUAAAUGAAACCAAAACAUCAUGCAGAGAGGCGAAGGAUCAUAAAUAAACUGGCUUUAGAAGUAUUUGAAUUUAUCUCUGUGAAAGGCUUGUGCUGUGUUUAAUGCAAGCUGGGAACAAGGCUGGGACGUCACAAGAACUGGUGGCUGGUGCAGCACGAGUGAGACGUGCCUAAGCGGUGGGGUAAGCGUGUGUGGGGGCACCAGGGUCCCCAGGGAGCAUGCUGAGCACGGGGAAGGUUUGGCUCAAGUCUGCUCUGGUGAUGGCUGCUUCUCUCUACUGAGAGAUGUGAGCCUCAGAACUGAGUCUGAAGCAGCUUGAGUUCCCUGAAGGGAACAUGCUGCAUAAAUGUACAAGAAUCCUAUUUCGAGCCUGGCUUCGUGGUGUGUUAUUAGCAGAGGCUCUGAGAGGCACAGACAUCAGCGUAAAUGUGACCAUCUUAAAGACAGCUGAUGAUGCAAAGGUCAAAAAAGUGAUUGACGGGGAGAAAAGUACAUGCUAAUAUUUCUCCAAGAGGAGAAAGAAUUACAUAUAAUGGGUGUAAUAUUCUAAGAGAGCUAGCACAUAUGGUGAGUGAUGCCAGCAUUUUAAAGGCACUUAAGCCUUAAAUUUCCCCUUGAUAAAAGUUAUGUCAUUCUU